AAUUUGAAUCGCUGCCACAAGGAUCUUCUCUGUGACGAUCUCCUCUGACUGAUCUCCUUUGGCGACGACCUCUUCUGACCGAUCUCUUUCGGCGACGACCUCCUCCAACGACGACCUCAUUCGGCGAUGUUUUCCUCAGCGGCGAUCUUCUCUGGUGACCUCUCUCCUCCAACGACAAUCUCCUCCUACGACGGUCUCCUCCUGCGAUGGUCUCCUCCAACGACAUCUCCUAGUGCAAUGAUCUCCCCCGGUGGCAUUCUCCUACGCCGGCAAUCUCAUCCAUCGAGCUAAUGUGUUGUGAGAUUCUCCUCCCACAAGCUCGCUAGAAUACAUGAUAGAUUUUGCGAAAUGACAACUACAACUACUAAAACUAUAGAAGCUAGGGUUUCUGAGGAAGGGAUCGUUAAAACAUUUCAUAAUGAUGAUGAUGAAGCGCUCGAUGCUGCGGAGAAUGGAGUUGCGGGAGCAAGAUGACUACGAGGUUGUGAGGAAGGUGGGAAGAGGGAAAUAUAGCGAGGUCUUUAAGGGUGUUUACUCUACCAAUAAUGAAAAAUGCAUCAUCAAGAUCCUCAAACCCGUCAAGAAGAAAAAGUUAAAGAGGGAGAUCAAAAUAUUGCAUAAUCUUUGUGGAGGUCCCAAUGUUAUAAAGCUGCUUGACAUUGUUAGGGACUAGCAAUCAAAAACCCCAAGCCUUAUAUUUGAAUAUGUCAAUAACACUGAUUUUAAAGUGCUCUACCCCACCCUGUCAGAUUAUGAUAUUCGAUAUUAUAUCUAUGAACUUCUAAAGGUAAGUUUUAUACUCUAUUGGUUGUCUAAGAUCAGCUGUUAUAUCUUAUUUUUGCAGUCAUUAUUUGUUUGACAUAUUUCUAGACACUAUCUAUGCCGAUGCUUCGUGGAAAAUUCAGUUAUGAUUUUUGUAUUUUUCUUUACGAUGAAAUAUUAGAAAGUGGUUGAGUAAUUGCUGCAUAGCUCUUUGACAGCUUCUUCUGCAUUAAUCCUCCGAUAGAUGCAAUUAAAGAAUGAAUUGGUUGAGGUUUGAAAUAGGUUGUAGAGUGGCUUGUAAGGAAGUUGAUUUUGAUUUUUGUAAAUCACUUCCAUUGCUUAUGAAUAAUGCAUAGCAGGAAAAUAGACUUUUUUCACUAAAUGUAUUUGUAAUAUCAAUAUCUACUAAGUUGAUAUUUAGUCUUUGAAGAUAAUACAAUCAAGGCAAGGGUAUAUUGGGAACUACUACGGUGUUCAGCUUCUUGAUGCUUCAGUGACAAAGUACCAAGAUUAUGGUCACUAACAACUCACUCACCCUCUUGUAAUGGCAUAUGAGAAUCACCUGUAGUUGCUGAUGAGCAACCUAAUGUUCCUAUGUGGAAUCCUGUGUUAUUCAAGCUUCCAUCAGAUGAGAUAUUUCUGUUCUACAAAAUAGGCCAAGAAGUUCAAAAGUAAAGCUUCUAUAUUGAAAGUUGAAAUAGUUGGUUUGACCUAUCCUCUUAACUGUGUCAGCAAGUUUAGCCAUUGACUUCAUGUGGUAGCUGUCUUGAAGGUAACUAAUUCGGCUAUCUAUAUCAUGUUAAGCUUUAUUUGCAGAGCUUGGUUCAGUUUGUGAAGAAAAGGUUACUCUUAGUCCACAAAAGGGAUCUUGAUAACUCUAAUCUAUCUGGACAUUUGGGGAAUUGCUUGGAGACUGGUGAAACUGUGGCUAUAAAGAAUGUUCUUCAGGACAAGAAUUUGAAGAGGCUUAAAAGCAGUGGAAAGUCAAAGAAAGUUUUUUGGAGACUAGGAAUUCUGGUGGGUUAAUUUCUCAAGCUCAUGCCAAUGCUACUAGAAAUGUUAUGAUGCCAGAAGUUGACUUUUUAGUUCACAGCUGAUGUCCUUCGAGCUCCUUUUUUUGCAUGCCUAUGCUAAUACUUUUCAAAGU